GAGUGGUAAAUGAAAUGAUAAGUAAAAAAGAACAGUAGCCCAGUACUGUACUAUUAGUACUUCGCUGGUUAAGGCCCGUGUCUAUCCAGAGAGACUACUUAACUUCUCGUUGUCCCACGAACAGAACCAGCCCACUCACCUCUCUCUCCCCCCCAAGAACAGAGCACGGCCGUCGUCGCCUCGAUCUGCCCCGUCCGAGCAUCUCCGGCGACACGGCAGAUACCUACAGAUUUUCCUCGUCUCCCUCUACCAUAUCCCCCUAUUUAUUUGAUCCGCCGCCGCCAAAAGCGUCGCCACCACUCAAUCCUAGCGCCGCCUGAUCCAGGUCCGGUGGGCUUGCCACCGGCUGCAGCGGCAACGACGUCUCCAUGCCUACAUCCUCCCCCAGCGCAGCCACACGCACGAGGCGUGCAGCCACGGGUGUCGGGCGCGUGCGGCUUCACCGGCGCAGCUCGGUCGCCAUGGCUCUGCUGCUAACGGUGUGGACUAGCCACAUCCUACUGCUACUACUGUAAGGUAAAGAGAUCAAGGUGAAUAGAUGCUCAUGGACUGAUUCAAACCGAGGUGGAGAUAGAUAAGAAAUCAAGCAAGAAGGGCUAACACAACAAGGUACUUGAUUAGUACCUGGUGGCGCAUGUAACCCAAAGAUCUUCACCGCAGUGAAGGACAGCAGUGUGGCAGAAGGUGAAAAGGCAAAUGGUGGGGGUACUCCAGCGUAUGUGUGUGUGAGGUAGAAUGGUCCAGUGAAAGGGAUGGCUCCUAUUUAUAGUGGGGUGAAUAGCUAUGUCGGUUUGAAGACACGUUACAUCUGGCAUAAUGCUUGGUUAGUCUUGCAUGCAUGCCUCCACUUGUGUCUCUUGUGGGCUGUACUAUGGACAGGUGUAAUUUGCUUGGUUGGUCAUUAGUUGGCAUUUACUUUAUAUGAAAGAAAUGAGACAAGGGUCUAUAAAAUAUAUGGAGGUUUGGAGAAGAAUUAGUUUUGCAUGACUAAAUGCUAUUUGUUGUAAUAAUAAAUGUAGUUGUUUCUAUUAUUUUAAUUAA